rnacentral:rRNA from 1 species
CUAUACAUGCAAGUCGAGCGGACAGAUGGGAGCUUGCUCCCUGAUGUUAGCGGCGGACGGGUGAGUAACACGUGGGUAACCUGCCUGUAAGACUGGGAUAACUCCGGGAAACCGGGGCUAAUACCGGAUGGUUGUUUGAACCGCAUGGUUCAGACAUAAAAGGUGGCUUCGGCUACCACUUACAGAUGGACCCGCGGCGCAUUAGCUAGUUGGUGAGGUAACGGCUCACCAAGGCAACGAUGCGUAGCCGACCUGAGAGGGUGAUCGGCCACACUGGGACUGAGACACGGCCCAGACUCCUACGGGAGGCAGCAGUAGGGAAUCUUCCGCAAUGGACGAAAGUCUGACGGAGCAACGCCGCGUGAGUGAUGAAGGUUUUCGGAUCGUAAAGCUCUGUUGUUAGGGAAGAACAAGUGCCGUUCAAAUAGGGCGGCACCUUGACGGUACCUAACCAGAAAGCCACGGCUAACUACGUGCCAGCAGCCGCGGUAAUACGUAGGUGGCAAGCGUUGUCCGGAAUUAUUGGGCGUAAAGGGCUCGCAGGCGGUUUCUUAAGUCUGAUGUGAAAGCCCCCGGCUCAACCGGGGAGGGUCAUUGGAAACUGGGGAACUUGAGUGCAGAAGAGGAGAGUGGAAUUCCACGUGUAGCGGUGAAAUGCGUAGAGAUGUGGAGGAACACCAGUGGCGAAGGCGACUCUCUGGUC